GAAUGACAAGAGACUAGCUCCCUAACGCGCACCAUCACCUCCUGAGCGAAGGUACCAGGCCAGAAGACCUGGGAGACCAGGCCCUUGGCGCAGGCCUCCUGGGCUGUCAGCUUGCGGCCACUCAGCAGCAUCUCGUUUGCCUGUGGGGGGGGAGGGGUAACACUCAGAAGAUUGUUCUCCUGCUCACACUACACUGCUAUUUCUUGGUCUACUGCAAUACCAUUCUUUUUUUUUUUUUUUUUUUUUUUUUUUUUUAAAUCGGACAGGAAAUUUCAGCCGGGGGAGGGACACCUGGGCACAGCAGGUCCACUGAGUGAGCCUGCAGUGUCCCAUCCUAAUAAACCUGAGGUAUGAGUCUUAAAGAAUGACUCUUACAUUUUAUUUAGCAAGACGCUUUUAUCCAAAGCAAUGUGCAGUUGAGAAAGCAGGGCCAGCAAGUCCCUGGCACUAAGGUUAAGGCCUUCCGUCGUGGGCCCGACGCUGAGAUCUCUCUGCAGACUGUGUGGUUUGACCCAGGGGCUUUCCAAUCACAGGCACAGCGUCCUAACCCACUAAGCCAUACAUCACCCCCAGUUAGGAGAUGAAGAGGUUCAAGGGGAGGCUUAAAAACAGCAGGAGGCUGUAGCUGAGUGCUGCCUGGCUCUGAACAGCCCAUCAGAGCUGACGGCAGUCGGCCUAAAUCUGAGACAAGCAGGACAAAGGGCGGUGUGCCCUUGUUAAUUAUUAUCCCUAGCCUAACCUAUAACCACACCUAUAUGCAGCUGGCGGCCAUCUAAUAGCCAUCACCACGCAGACGUGGAUGGGAGUCCUGGGUUCACAGCAUGAGGCCCAACACGCUCUGAAUAUCUGCUCAGUCUGAGAUGACCAGUGAGCAGCCAGACCAAGGCUCUCGUCUAUGAUACGUUUCCAAGACGACUCACAGAUGCCACCCCCAUGACGCGGGGGAAGGUGAAGGAGGAACAGGCGUCGGGUGUCUGGCCGAAGGCUGCGUACGGUGUCUGGAACCAGGCCUUCUCGGUGGCCCAGAUGACGUCGCACAGCGGCAGAAUGGCGGCGCCCAGGCCCACGGCGGGGCCGUUCACCGCCACCACAAUGGGCUUCUUGAACUGGAUGAAGGUGUUCACGAAGGUCCUGGAUGAAGCGGAGGGGGAUGGUCAUCCUCAAUGACAAUCACAAAAGAGGCAGAGCAACAAUAAAAAAGGAAACAGCUGAACAAAUAAGUUGGAAUAACAGUGCCAGGAAAGCAAGGACAAGAGGCAAUAAGUCUACAGAGAAAGGAUCUCCACAGGUCGAGUUACUCACAGUGAAGCUGGAAAACAAAUUCAGUGCUCAUAGUGGCCAGGAAAGAGAGGGCUGAGUCAUACAGACCCGGGUCUGAGUCCCACAGCACCAUAAUCUGACUGCUGUGGGGGGGCGGGGUUAAGGGAUUAUGUUCUCUCUGAUGCGUAAGCACCAACUGGAAAUCCAGCAGGCAUCUACAUGGAGCAGAUUUACAGUGAUGACAGAUCCUCCGUUAUAUACAGAAAUGGGUAUGAGGUACAAGUUCUGUAAUUUACUCUGUCCAUGUACGUUUUCAGUCGUCAAAUUCUGGUUAAGAUGAUACAGUGAAGCGAUCCAGGCACCCUACAGCUCUUUGAUUAUGAAGCUUGAUUAUCAGUCGCCCGAUUCACUGUCGGCUGAGUUGAACGUCUCUUUGAUACAACAGACCAAACAGGAAGCGUCGCUUUCC